AGAGUUUGAUCAUGGCUCAGGAUGAACGCUAGCGGGAGGCCUAACACAUGCAAGCCGAGCGGUAUUGUUUCUUCGGAAAUGAGUAGAGCGGCGUACGGGUGCGGAACACGUGUGCAACCUGCCUUUAUCUGGGGGAUAGCCUUUCGAAAGGAAGAUUAAUACUCCAUAAUAUAUUGAUUGGCAUCAAUUAAUAUUGAAAGCUCCGGCGGAUAGAGAUGGGCACGCGCAAGAUUAGCUAGUUGGUGAGGUAACGGCUCACCAAGGCGAUGAUCUUUAGGGGCCUGAGAGGGUGAUCCCCCACACUGGUACUGAGACACGGACCAGACUCCUACGGGAGGCAGCAGUGAGGAAUAUUGGUCAAUGGGUGCAAGCCUGAACCAGCCAUCCCGCGUGAAGGACGACUGCCCUAUGGGUUGUAAACUUCUUUUGUAUAGGGAUAAACCUACCCUCGUGAGGGUAGCUGAAGGUACUAUACGAAUAAGCACCGGCUAACUCCGUG
rnacentral:rRNA from 1 species